rnacentral:lncRNA from 1 species
UCGUUUAGGUAAACUGAUGUCUCCUAGGAUUCCGGUUCGAAUCCCGCCGCCACGCGUAGUUUGCUCUACGUCCGGGUCCUGCCAGAAUCUGACUCUGCGGGAUAGAAAAUGAAGGGCAUUUCUGCUACAGAAUACACAGAGGGAGGGAGCCGUCACCAGGAAACACCAAAUGGUUCCCUGUGGUGAGACACUAGCUACCAGGAGGAAACAGCAAAAGGGCCGUGGACGCCUUCACCCCAGAGGCCUUGAGGUGACACCUGACCAUAGGGAAGAGGAAGAAGCUGGAGGAGUCCUAGCCCCAGGGGUCAAGUGCCUUUCUGCUGAGAACCACUGGCUAGGGAGAAGGAGGGGGAAGACCAGUCCAUGCUGGGUGCUAAGUGCUGUGCCAGAGUGA